GACCAAAAGAUUAAGUUAUAUAAAUAGGUGAAAAGAUAGUUAGACAAUAUAAGGAAGUUUAAUGAUUUUUUAUAGAAGGGUAAAAUUUGGAUAUAAAAAACUAAUUUUUUUUUAACUACUAGGUUGAAGCUAUGAUAAUUUUGAGGGAAACUGGGAUUAGAUACCCCAUUAUUCAUAAAUUGUAAAUUAAUUAAAAUGAGUUUACCAGAGUACUAUGAAUAAAAAAAUUUAAAACUCAAAGGGCUUGGCGGUGUUUUAGACCAAUUAGGGGAACCUGUCUCAUAAUCGACAAUCCGCGUUAUACCUGACCUUUUUUAGUAGACAGUUUGUAUACCGUCGUCGUCAGGUAACUUUUAAAAAUAAAGAAGUUGGCAGUAAUAAUUAUUGUUUAUUAAGACGUCAGAUCAAGGUGCAGCUUAUAAAAGGGGGAGGAUGGGUUACAAUUAUAGAUUAAUAAUUACGGAUAGUGAAGUGUAAAAAACUUAAAGGAGGACUUAAAAGUAAUGUUGUUUUAUACAAAUAAUUUGAAUUAGGCUCUGAAACGUGC
rnacentral:rRNA from 1 species